UUUGCAGCGUGGUUUCUUAAAAAUGAUAAACAACCAAAUUCCACACAGCAAAUGUUAGCCAUGUGAAAUGUUAAGAGCAGUGGGGGAAAUUUCCUCCAUGUGAUGUUUAGCUUCAUAAAUAAGUGAACUUGAUGUUUUUUGGUGGUUUUGUUGCUGUUUACAGAGGGUGAGGUUGUGGGGAGGCUGCCCCAUCUGCUCUUCUGUGUGGAGUGUCUCUGCUCUCUGGAGUGUCCUCAGGACUCCAACUCUGUCCCCUCAGUCAGCUGUCCCGAGUGUAGGACAGCGAUAAAGAGGGCAGGACCCGGUCAGACCUCCAGUCAGACGUGGAAGUGUCUGGGUAAAGACCACCAAGAGAUGCUGCAGAACUGGCAGCCGAUGGACGAUAUGCCGUGUGAGCGUAUUCUUCUGCUUUCUGAUUGACUUUCUUUGCCAUGCUGAGGGAGGUGUUGACUAAAUUAGAGAUGGUGCUGGACCAACAAACCACUGAGAUUGCUUCAACUACAGGAGGUCCAGCUGCAGCCUUUGGAUGUUGAUGAAGAUUUACUGCCCUGCAAGACCUUCCUCAACUGCGUAGUCUGGAGCGAAGGAUGCAACAGAGCCCAGAUUACAAGCAAGAUCUGUUCAUAGAAACCUCUUUACGCCUAAAGCUGCAGCGAUGGAGGUCGAGGGGACCAUGAAGAGGUGGCUCCAGCUGGCAUCAGAUCAAGAGUGUGGGUGCAAGAGAAGUCUUUUGCAAAAAGAAGCUACCAGGAAUCCUGAAGAAGGACUAGCGCAUUGGAGCGGUGGGGGCACGUGGGGGCAAACAUCAGGCUGUGGCAGGCGGAGGUUCUGAAGAGGGACUUCUCCAGCCUGAUCGAGACGGUACGAGGCAGAUCACCCACCGCGAAGAUCAUUGUCUCUGGACCUCUUCCCUCAUACAGAGGUGGAGCUGAAAGGCUCAGUAGACUUCUUGCUUUGAAUGACUGGUUAGUUUCUUGGUGUAAUGAACAGAAUCUGCUGUUUGUUAAUAACUGGAAUCUGUUCUGGGAUCGGAACUGCUGUCAGACAACAUCUCCAAGACGCUACAGACCAAGUGACUGUCUACCGUCAAAUUAUUCAUAAACAUGGAAUGAAUUUCCACUGUUAUGCUGAUGAUACAGAGCUGUAUGUUUGCAACUGAACAAUAACAACAAUAAACAACAACUGAAGAAUAGCGAAAAACUUCUGUUUUGUAAGUCAACUGUUUUGUAAGUCAAACUUUUUAAUGUUCACCUGGAAUUUGACUCCUAUGUGACUAAAUGAUGGAAUUGUAUCUUAUGUUGGACCAUGUAUUCCAGAGAUUUUUUAUUUGAAUUUCUUGCUUACUUGAAGACGAUGAGGCAGAGCAGCAUCGGAGAGACAGUUCGCUCCAUUCUCCAAAGAAUCGGGGAGAACAGUCUGUAAUGUAUGUUUUUGUUGAAAGUGUCAAAAGGUGGGAAGCUGGCUUUGACUGAUCAGGAUGAAGUGUAUCGCCUUGUACACUAUAUUGCCGAACAAGCACAUGGACGUGAAUAUACUGUUGCCGGUUGCAGAGAGGCCAUCGGCAGCUACCUAAAAAAUGCCCCAGGCAGGAAAAGUGGCAAGAAACAUAUUAGGAGUGUUUAUGAUGAAGGUUAGAAUUUAAA